rnacentral:rRNA from 1 species
CCUACGGGAGGCAGCAGUGGGGGAUAUUGCACAAUGGGGGGAACCCUGAUGCAGCGACGCCGCGUGGGUGAAGAAGCGCCUCGGCGCGUAAAGCCCUGUCAGCAGGGAAGAAAAUGACGGUACCUGAAGAAGAAGCCCCGGCUAACUACGUGCCAACAGCCGCGGUAAUACGUAGGGGGCAAGCGUUAUCCGGAUUUACUGGGUGUAAAGGGGGCGCAGACGGGGAUGCAAGCCAGGAGUGAAAGCCCGGGGCCCAACCCCGGGACUGCUCUUGGAACUGCGUGGCUAGAGUGCAGGAGGGGCAGGCGGAAUUCCUGGUGUAGCGGUGAAAUGCGUAGAUAUCAGGAGGAACACCGGUGGCGAAGGCGGCCUGCUGGACUGCAACUGACGUUGAGGCCCGAAAGCGUGGGGAGCAAACAGGAUUAGAUACCCCAAUAGUC